CCUACGGGAGGCAGCAGUGGGGGAUAUUGCACAAUGGGGGGAACCCUGAUGCAGCGACGCCGCGUGGGUGAAGGAGCGUUUCGGCGCGUAAAGCCCUAUCGGCAGGGAAGAAGGAGGACGGUACCUGACUAAGAAGCCCCGGCUAACUACGUGCCAGCAGCCGCGGUAAGACGUAGGGGGCAAGCGUUAUCCGGAUGUACUGGGUGGAAAGGGGGCGCAGACGGCAGCGCAAGCCAGGAAUGAAAGCCCGGGGCCCAACCCCGGGACUGCUCUUGGAACUGCGCGGCUGGAGUGCAGGAGGGGCAGGCGGAAUUCCUGGUGUAGCGGUGAUAUGCGUAGAUAUCAGGAGGAACACCGGUGGCGAAGGCGGCCUGCUGGACUGCGACUGACGUUGAGGCCCGAAAGCGUGGGGAGCAAACAGGAUUAGAUACCCGAGUAGUC
rnacentral:rRNA from 1 species